AUAUAUAAUUAAACGACAUAUAACAACAAUUCAAGCAAAUCCAAAAUCAAUUCUUAGGAGGUGGUGGAGUGAAGAAUGGAAUGGAUGAGAUAGAAGGGAAUAUUCUUGGGAAGGAAGGGAAUGAAGAAGGCAUUGGUGGCAUUGCAAAUCUUGGUAUCCCUGCAGGAAUUGGUGGCAUUCCCUGUACUCUUGGAAAACUUGGAUAUUUGGGAUUACUGGAAUUGUGGGAAAAUAUGGAAUGCUUGAGCCAUCAGGUUGAUUGUUGUCUUGCAAAAGUUGACGAACAGCUUCAGACUUCUCAUUCACUGCCAUUAACAUCAGUUAAAAAAAAGCAGCUUGGUAAAUUAAGCUCCCGUUAUGUCUCGGGUCCUAGAAAGGG
rnacentral:lncRNA from 1 species